rfam:Camelus ferus unplaced genomic scaffold scaffold1982, whole genome shotgun sequence.
GGGGGUACAGCUCAGGGGUGGAGUGCAUGCCUAGCAUGCGUGAGGUCCUAGGUUCAAUCCCCGGUACCUCUA